GACGUAGGGCGCGAGCGUUGUCCGGAUUUAUUGGGCGUAAGGAGCUCGUAGGCGGCUUGUCGCGUCGACUGUGAAAACCCGUGGCUCAACUGCGGGCUGCGGCUGAUACGGGCGGAGCUAGAGUUCGGUAGGGGAGACUGGAAUUCCUGGUGUAGCGGUGAAAUGCGCAGAUAUCAGGAGGAACACCGGUGGCGAAGGCGGGAUCUCUGGGCCGUACUGACUCUGGAGGCGCGAAAGCGUGGGGGAGCAAACAGG
rnacentral:rRNA from 1 species